rnacentral:lncRNA from 1 species
AAAAAAAAAACCUUAAAUGCCCAUCGCUAAGUGAAAGAAGCCGAUCUGAAAAGACUACAUACUGUUAUCAGCCUUUUGCCAAGCUGAACACAAGGGGAUGAAAAGAAAAUCUGGGCUCGAAUGUGCAAUUUCAUAUUUUCUGUUAAGGCAAUUUACAACAUAUCAUAAAGCUGCAUUAAUAAACAGAUGUUCCACAGUCUGCAGAAUAUAAAAUAAAUGUCUUGAAUAAGCUACGAAGACCAAGGCACUUUUCGGAGCAGAUUUUUUUGUCUUAAAGUUUUAUCUCAUGCAAACACUGCGUAUAACACAAACUUAUAUAAUCAAUGCUUUUAGCAAAAUGUCAUAGUAGAACCAAGGCCCAGUUGUUAGCUGAAAUCUAUAUAAAUAUAGGCAGGAGUAGGGCUGAUUGGAGCCAUUGUACAGUGUCGGGAACAUACCAGGACACUGAGAAUAGUGUCAUGUCAUAAGGACCCAGAGCAGAUGGACCCUGCUGUGAUGCACAAAGAGGACCACGCAAGAUAUGAUAAAGAUCUACAUCACUGAAUUUUGGUUCCAUUUUUGUAUCUCAGCUUCCAGGAAAUAAAAAAGAAUUCUAACAUUCAUACUUUCAGUAUUUUAUGUGAGAGGUUUUGUUGUCAAAAUCAAGUCUGAGAGCAAUGUUUGUUGGGGCCUUUAAUUGGAGUCACCAAGCGAUAAAGGGGACAUUGUCCUCAACAAUAACCCUAUAAUAAACACGUUUUGGACAAUAAAUAUAUGACAAUUUCUUAAAAGCAAUUUCUUGGGCAAUCAAGACAGUAUGGCUUGAGUAUGGAGUUAUACGAUGGUUUGGAUUAAUCCAGUAUUAAAUCUUUGGUUAUUACAGAAAUCAAUGGAGCCUAUUCUUCCAAAUAAUCCUUAAAUAUUACUUAUCUCAACUGAGAUUUUGGUGAAAAUUUAGCUUUAGAGCUUUUAUUGACCUGCCAAUGACCUGAAGUUAAGAUUAUUCUUUUCUACUGAAUGAAGACAAACUACCUUAUAAAAAUUAACCCAGA